GACUCGGUGGCGCAAUUGUAGCGCGUCUGAAUCCAGAUCAGAAGGGUGCGUGUUCGAAUCCCGUCUGGGUCA
rnacentral:tRNA from 1 species